rnacentral:rRNA from 1 species
AACGUAGGAGACAAACGUUAUCCGGAGUUACUGGGCGUAAAGGGCGUGUAGGUGGUUUCGUAAGUCUGGCGUGAAAUUUCUCGGCUUAACCGAGGCAGGUCGUCGGAUACUGCGGAACUUGAGGACGGUAGAGGCGUGUGGAAUUCCGGGUGUAGUGGUGAAAUGCGUAGAGAUCCGGAGGAACACCAGUGGCGAAGGCGACACGCUGGGCCGUACCUGACACUGAGGCGCGACAGCGUGGGGAGCAAACAGG